rnacentral:rRNA from 1 species
UACGUAGGGGCAAGCGUUGUCCGGAUUUAUUGGGCGUAAAGAGCGUGUAGGCGGUUUGGUAGGUCCGUUGUGAAAACUCGAGGCUCAACCUCGAGACGCCGAUGGAACCAUCAGACUAGAGUCCGGAAGAGGAGAGUGGAAUUCCUGGUGUAGCGGUGAAAUGCGCAGAUAUCAGGAAGAACACCCGGUGGCUAAGGCGGCUCUCUAGUACGGUACUGACGCUGAGACGCGAAAGCGUGGGGAGCAAACGGG